GACGGAGGAUGCAAGCGUUAUCCGGAAUGAUUGGGCGUAAAGCGUCUGCAGGUGGCAGUUCAAGUCUGCUGUCAAAGACCGGGGCUUAACCCUGGAAAGGCGGUGGAAACUGAAGCGCUAGAGUACGGUAGGGGUAGAGGGAAUUCCCGGUGUAGCGGUGAAAUGCGUAGAGAUCGGGAAGAACAUCGGUGGCGAAAGCGCUCUACUGGACCGCAACUGACACUCAGGGACGAAAGCUAGGGGAGCGAAUGGG
rnacentral:rRNA from 1 species